AACGAACGCUGGCGGCAGGCCUAACACAUGCAAGUCGAACGUGAAGCCACCUUCGGGUGGUGGAAAGUGGCAGACGGGUGAGUAACGCGUGGGAACGUGCCUUUCGGUUCGGAAUAACCCAGGGAAACUUGGGCUAAUACCGGAUACGCCCUUCGGGGGAAAGAUUCAUUGCCGAAAGAUCGGCCCGCGUCGGAUUAGCUUGUUGGUGGGGUAAUGGCCUACCAAGGCGACGAUCCGUAGCUGGUCUGAGAGGAUGAUCAGCCACACUGGGACUGAGACACGGCCCAGACUCCUACGGGAGGCAGCAGUGGGGAAUAUUGCACAAUGGGCGAAAGCCUGAUGCAGCCAUGCCGCGUGGGUGAAGAAGGCCUUAGGGUUGUAAACCCCUUUCAGCGGGGAAGAUAAUGACGGUACCCGCAGAAGAAGUCCCGGCUAACUCCGUGCCAGCCGCCGCAGUAAGAC
rnacentral:rRNA from 1 species